GUGAUAAUUUAAGACAUCUGUUACUCUGUUAAUGCUGCAAACAUAGCCGUGCAACGAGGGCAACCAUGUGUUUCAAAGCUGGCAGUAUCUAAGCUACAACUUGAUUAAAGUGUGGGAAUAAUAAUCUUAAAAUCAAGAGCAGUUUUUUAUAAGGGCAUGGCAUGUUAUGCUGCCAAAACCCAUCUGUAUGCUAAGAAACCACUUAACUUCUGAUGACGGUGUAGAAUGGUUAUCUGAGUCAGAAUCAACCUGUAAUCAUUCUGUACGUUGUUGAUUUGAACAUCAGUGGAAAACUAGAUCUAUUGGUGUUUAGUUAGAGCAAACUUUCCUAUCUGAAUCCUAAUCUCGGUCUAAGAAGUCUAUGGGGAUCCAUUUUGUAAAGUUCAUGUGCUAUUUUAAAUGGUUUUUACUUUUAGUAUUUGUAAGGUAGUGAUGUUACUGUGACAAAAGUUUGUAGACACCAUGUAGCACCAUUAACUGCUCUAGAGCCUAAUAGACAGUGUAUUUUGUAUUUCAUGUGUACUUUUUCUGUUUCAUAUUGGACUUUUUACAUCCCUUUUUUAGGAAAAAAAAGGAUACAUUUAAAAAUUUUUUAGGGUAAUCUGUAUUGGAAGCUAAGUAUCCUCACAGUUAGCAAAUAUACUUUAUCACCAAAGCUAAAUGAAACUGUAAGAUACCUCUGGAUAUUUGUGCCAAUGAACUUUCUUAGUAAUCUGGGGAUAAAACAAAAGUAAUCUUUUCAGUAUUUUUCAUCUAGGACUUACAAUAAAUGUGGAUAUCUUGAAAACAUGUUCCAUACUCUGUUUUUCUUUGAAAAUGCUCAAAGCUUUAGGACAGUGCAUUCUGUGUUCUGUUGCGUCUGGUUUCCUGACAUUGCUGGGUAAACGAUGAGUCCACUCAGUAGUAAUCUUUGAGCAGUUAAUUGAGGUAAUCGUUUGAAGUAAUCUGACUUUGGCUUGUUUUGUGGUGUAAAUAGUCAAUUGUUUUACAGAAUCCAUUUUUGGUGUAGGUGUCUUGGUUUAUACAGUUGAAAGCUUGUCCUGUGGGGUUUCUGUUGCUUUCUGUAUGUCUCUGUUCAGUCCCUAGUGUUUAUCCAGUAGAACCUAAUAGAGUAUGAUGAGGCAAGCCACUUAGCAUGCACAUCUUGGGCCAAAUACUACGAAAUACAGUUGUUGAUGAAACACACUGGCAUUGAUAGGGCAUUAGACAAAACUAGAAAUGUAGCAGGUGCAGAAGCCAUUGUGGGCCCCGGGAACUCAAGUUUUCCCCCAGAGGGAUGUUGUGGAAAUUGCAGUGUUUCAUUCAGUCUCGCCUAGCGUUUCCCAUGGCCUCUCUGCCCUGCCUACUGUAAUGCUGGCACAUUUUUCAUAAGUUAACCUCGCAAGUGAAGAGACAGAACAU
rnacentral:lncRNA from 1 species